UGGUGCCCUACCGGCGAACGGGUGAGUAACACGUGGGCAACCUGCCCUCAGCUCUGGGAUAACUCCAAGAAAUUGGUGCUAAUACCGGAUGUGACCGCUGACCGCAUGGUCUGGUGGUGGAAAGAUUCAUCGGCUGAGGAUGGGCCCGCGGCCUAUCAGCUUGUUGGUGGGGUAGUGGCCCACCAAGGCGACGACGGGUAGCCGGCCUGAGAGGGUGACCGGCCACACUGGGACUGAGACACGGCCCAGACUCCUACGGGAGGCAGCAGUGGGGAAUAUUGCGCAAUGGGCGAAAGCCUGACGCAGCGACGCCGCGUGAGGGAUGACCGGCCUUCGGGUUGUAAACCUCUUUCAGUAGGGACGAAGCGAAAGUGACGGUACCUACAGAAGAAGCACCGGCCAACUACGUGCCACCAGCCGCGGUAAUACGUAGGGUGCAAGCGUUGUCCGGAAUUAUUGGGCGUAAAGAGCUCGUAGCGUCUGUCGCGUCGGCUGUGAAAACCCGAGGCUCAACCUCGGGCCUGCAGUCGAUACGGGCAAACUAGAGUACUGCAGGGGAGACUGGAAUUCCUGGUGUAGCGGUGAAAUGCGCAGAUAUCAGGAGGAACACCGGUGGCGAAGGCGGGUCUCUGGGCAGUAACUGACGCUGAGGAGCGAAAGCGUGGGGAGCGAACAGGAUUAGAUACCCUGGUAGUCCACGCCGUAAACGUUGGGCGCUAGGUGUGGGGGCCAUUCCACGGUCUCCGUGCCGCAGCUAACGCAUUAAGCGCCCCGCCUGGGGAGUACGGCCGCAAGGCUAAAACUCAAAGGAAUUGACGGGGGCCCGCACAAGCGGCGGAGCAUGUUGCUUAAUUCGAUGCAACGCGAAGAACCUUACCUAGGCUUGACAUGCACGGAAAUCUCGUAGAGAUACGGGGUGCCUUUGGCGUCGUGCACAGGUGGUGCAUGGUUGUCGUCAGCUCGUGUCGUGAGAUGUUGGGUUAAGUCCCGCAACGAGCGCAACCCUCGUUCUAUGUUGCCAGCACGUGAUGGUGGGGACUCAUAGGAGACUGCCGGGGUCAACUCGGAGGAAGGUGGGGAUGACGUCAAAUCAUCAUGCCCCUUAUGUCUAGGGCUGCAAACAUGCUACAAUGGCCGGUACAAAGGGCUGCGAUACCGCGAGGUGGAGCCAAUCCCAAAAAGCCGGUCUCAGUUCGGAUUGGGGUCUGCAACUCCACCCCAUGAAGUUGGAGUCGCUAGUAAUCGCAGAUCAGCAACGCUGCGGUGAAUACCUUCCCGGGCCUUGUACACACCGCCCGU
rnacentral:rRNA from 1 species